AGACAGCAGCAGCCACGGGAACACCGAGGGUGCGAGCGUUAAUCGGAUUUACUGGGCGUAAAGCGUGCGUAGGCGGCUUCUUAAGUCGGAUGUGAAAUCCCUGAGCUUAACUUAGGAAUUGCAUUCGAUACUGGGAAGCUAGAGUAUGGGAGAGGAUGGUAGAAUUCCAGGUGUAGCGGUGAAAUGCGUAGAGAUCUGGAGGAAUACCGAUGGCGAAGGCAGCCAUCUGGCCUAAUACUGACGCUGAGGUACGAAAGCAUGGGGAGCAAACAGGAUUAGAUACCCCUGUAGUCCCUGUCUCUUAUAC
rnacentral:rRNA from 1 species